rnacentral:rRNA from 1 species
GACGAACGCUGGCGGCGUGCUUAACACAUGCAAGUCGAACGGAAAGGCCCUGCUUUUGUGGGGUGCUCGAGUGGCGAACGGGUGAGUAACACGUGAGUAACCUGCCCUUGACUUUGGGAUAACUUCAGGAAACUGGGGCCAAUACCGGAUAGGAGCUCCUGCUGCAUGGUGGGGGUUGGAAAGUUUCGGCGGUUGGGGAUGGACUCGCGGCUUAUCAGCUUGUUGGUGGGGUAGUGGCUUACCAAGGCUUUGACGGGUAGCCGGCCUGAGAGGGUGACCGGCCACAUUGGGACUGAGAUACGGCCCAGACUCCUACGGGAGGCAGCAGUGGGGAAUAUUGCACAAUGGGCGGAAGCCUGAUGCAGCAACGCCGCGUGCGGGAUGACGGCCUUCGGGUUGUAAACCGCUUUCGCCUGUGACGAAGCGUGAGUGACGGUAAUGGGUAAAGAAGCACCGGCUAACUACGUGCCAGCAGCCGCGGUGAUACGUAGGGUGCGAGCGUUGUCCGGAUUUAUUGGGCGUAAAGGGCUCGUAGGUGGUUGAUCGCGUCGGAAGUGUAAUCUUGGGGCUUAACCCUGAGCGUGCUUUCGAUACGGGUUGACUUGAGGAAGGUAGGGGAGAAUGGAAUUCCUGGUGGAGCGGUGGAAUGCGCAGAUAUCAGGAGGAACACCAGUGGCGAAGGCGGUUCUCUGGGCCUUUCCUGACGCUGAGGAGCGAAAGCGUGGGGAGCGAACAGGCUUAGAUACCCUGGUAGUCCACGCUGUAAACGGUGGGUACUAGGUGUGGGGUCCAUUCCACGGGUUCCGUGCCGUAGCUAACGCUUUAAGUACCCCGCCUGGGGAGUACGGCCGCAAGGCUAAAACUCAAAGGAAUUGACGGGGCCCCGCACAAGCGGCGGAGCAUGCGGAUUAAUUCGAUGCAACGCGUAGAACCUUACCUGGGUUUGACAUGGAUCGGGAGCGCUCAGAGAUGGGUGUGCCUCUUUUGGGGUCGGUUCACAGGUGGUGCAUGGCUGUCGUCAGCUCGUGUCGUGAGAUGUUGGGUUAAGUCCCGCAACGAGCGCAACCCUUGUUCACUGUUGCCAGCACGUUAUGGUGGGGACUCAGUGGAGACCGCCGGGGUCAACUCGGAGGAAGGUGGGGAUGACGUCAAGUCAUCAUGCCCCUUAUGUCCAGGGCUUCACGCAUGCUACAAUGGCUGGUACAGAGAGUGGCGAGCCUGUGAGGGUGAGCGAAUCUCGGAAAGCCGGUCUCAGUUCGGAUUGGGGUCUGCAACUCGACCUCAUGAAGUCGGAGUCGCUAGUAAUCGCAGAUCAGCAACGCUGCGGUGAAUACGUUCCCGGGGCU